rnacentral:rRNA from 1 species
UACGGGGGGGGCAAGCGUUGUUCGGAAUUACUGGGCGUAAAGGGCUCGUAGGCGGCCAACUAAGUCAGACGUGAAAUCCCUCGGCUUAACCGGGGAACUGCGUCUGAUACUGGAUGGCUUGAGGUUGGGAGAGGGAUGCGGAAUUCCAGGUGUAGCGGUGAAAUGCGUAGAUAUCUGGAGGAACACCGGUGGCGAAGGCGGCUCACUGGCUCGUUUCUGACGCUCAGGCGCGACAGCGUGGGGAUCAAACAGG